rnacentral:lncRNA from 1 species
CCGCCGCGCGGGCGCGCGCAGAUCCCAGAGGGCGUCCGGGGGGCGGUGGCGGCGAGCCUGCAGCGGGGCUCCGGGGUGCCGCUUCCACUUGAGCGCCUGCGGAGGGGGCCCGGCGGAGCAGGCCGGCAGGCAGGGGGCUGCCCCACGGCGGCAAAAAGCUGUGUCCAGCCCUGAGCGUAGGCAUCCCUGGGCUUCAUCCAUAUGCAAGAUAGAUGACGUGAUCUCGUGAU